GGGUGAGAACGCGUAGGAAUCUACCAAAUAGCGGGGGAUAGCCCGGAGAAAUCCGGAUUAAUACCGCAUAAUCUCUACGGAGUAAAGAGGGCCUCUAUUUAUAAGCUUUCACUAUUUGAUGAGCCUGCGUAAGAUUAGCUUGUUGGUGAGGUAAAAGCUCACCAAGGCGACGAUCUUUAGCUGGUCUGAGAGGAUGAUCAGCCACACUGGGACUGAGACACGGCCCAGACUCC
rnacentral:rRNA from 1 species